ACGUAGGGGGCAAGCGUUAUCCGGAUUUACUGGGUGUAAAGGGAGCGUAGGCGGCAUGGCAAGCCAGAUGUGAAAGGCCGGGGCUCAACCCCGGGACUGCAUUUGGAACUGUCAGGCUUGAGUGUUGGAGAGGUAAGCGGAAUUCCUAGUGUAGCGGUGAAAUGCGUAGAUAUUAGGAGGAACACCAGUGGCGAAGGCGGCUUACUGGACAAUAACUGACGCUGAGGCUCGAAAGCGUGGGGAGCAAACAG
rnacentral:rRNA from 1 species